UCCCACGUAGUAGAAUAUAAUAUAUUGGAUUUAGGUUCCAAAGUUGAGCAGUGCUCCAUGGGAU
rnacentral:tRNA from 1 species